rnacentral:misc_RNA from 1 species
CAAGAAAGUAUUAUUAUGAGUCAUGACAAUCAAAAUUUUUCAAAACAAGAAGCAUUAAUACAAUUUGUUAAAUGUAAUAGAUAAUUCAUUAAAGAAAGGAUAAUCACGGCACAUCUUUGGUGAAUAAGCAAUGCAAAUAGAUUCUUAAUUCUAACAGGGAAUCUAAAACCUCAACGGUCAUUGCAAGUACACAACAAAGGUAUGAAUAAAGAGAACUUCAAAUUUUCAUGAUAAAAAAGUACAAUAAAUAAAGAAGAUGUAUUUUAUUGCAGCCCAUUGCAAACAGGCGACAUAUAAAUUAUCCUCUUUUGGAACCCAUAAGAACCUCCAAACAAGCAGCAACGAGAAUAUAGUGUAAAAUUCAUGAAAAAUACCUUUCAUACAGGAAGAUGAGGGUUAAAAAGGAAAGGCAAAAUGGAGAAGGCAUUUUCCAGGAUAGGCUUUCAAAGUUCACACAAGAUCAUGAAGGCGUGAAUGACGUAAUGUGCUUUCAGAAUUGCAAUCAGACGAGCCCUUUUUGUGAAAUAGGCCUUGUCAAUCUUAAGAAAAUAACAUAUGAAGGGAAACAUCACAAUAACCAAUCAAUUUCAAGGGUUCAUAGAUACCUUGAGAGGAGGAUUAUCAGGCGCCAGAGCCUC